rnacentral:rRNA from 1 species
GAGCCAGACUCCUACGGGAGGUAGCAGUGAGGAAUAUUGGUCAAUGGUCGGGAGACUGAACCAGCCAAGCCGCGUGAGGGAGGAAGGUACAGAGUAUCGUAAACCUCUUUUGUCAGGGGACAAAGACUGGGACGCGUCCCCGGAUGAGUGUACCUGAAGAAAAAGCAUCGGCUAACUCCGUGCCAGCAGCCGCGGUAAUACGGAGGAUGCGAGCGUUAUCCGGAUUUAUUGGGUUUAAAGGGUGCGCAGGCGGUCCGUUAAGUCGGCGGUAAAAUCGCGGGGCUCACCCCCGCUCCGCCGUUGAAACUGUGUCCCUUGAGUGCGCGAAGGGUAGGCGGAAUGCGUGGUGUAGCGGUGAAAUGCAUAGAUAUCACGCAGAACUCCGAUCGCGAAGGCAGCCUACCGGCGCGCUACUGACGCUCAUGCACGAAAGCGUGGGUAUCGAACAGGAUUAGAUACCCUCGUA